rnacentral:rRNA from 1 species
GAUGAACGCUGGCGGCGUGCCUAAUACAUGCAAGUCGAGCGAACUUUCGGGAAGUUUGUCCCACAAGUUUGCGGCGGGCUGGUGAGUAAAACGUGUGGAACACGCCUGUAUAACACGGGGAUAACCUGGAAAAAGGAGCGAAAACACGAUAACAUAUAAGACCCCAUAGCGUUCAAUAAAAAAGUGCGUUUUUGCUAUCACUUACAGAUGGAUCCGCGCCGCAUUAUCUAGUUGGUAAGGUAACGGCUCACCAAGGCGACGAUGCGUAGCCGACCUGAGAGGGUAAUCGGCCACACUGGAACGGGGACACGGCCCAGAUUCCUACGGGAGGAAGAAGUAGGGAAUCUUCGGCAAUGGACGAAAGCCUGAUGGAGCAACGCCGCGUGAGGGAAGAAGGUUUUCGGUUCGUAAAACCUGGUGUUAGGGGAAGAAAAGAUUUGUUAGUAAAUGGGCAUGUCUUGACGGUACCUAACCAGAAAGCCACGGCUAACUACGUG